rnacentral:rRNA from 1 species
GACGAACGCUGGCGGCGUGCUUAACACAUGCAAGUCGAACGAAGAGCGAUGGAAGCUUGCUUCUAUCAAUCUUAGUGGCGAACGGGUGAGUAACGCGUAAUCAACCUGCCCUUCAGAGGGGGACAACAUUUGGAAACGACUGCUAAUACCGCAUACGAUCUAAUCUCGGCAUCGAGGAUAGAUGAAAGGUGGCCUCUACAUGUAAGCUAUCACUGAAGGAGGGGAUUGCGUCUGAUUAGCUAGUUGGAGGGGUAACGGCCCACCAAGGCGAUGAUCAGUAGCCGGUCUGAGAGGAUGAACGGCCACAUUGGGACUGAGACACGGCCCAGACUCCUACGGGAGGCAGCAGUGGGGAAUCUUCCGCAAUGGACGAAAGUCUGACGGAGCAACGCCGCGUGAGUGAUGACGGCCUUCGGGUUGUAAAGCUCUGUUAAUCGGGACGAAAGGCCUUCUUGCGAAUAGUGAGAAGGAUUGACGGUACCGGAAUAGAAAGCCACGGCUAACUACGUG